CUAAACUGAGCAUCUUGUUCUCUUACGCAAGGUCCAGAUGGCAACAGUAGCAAUCAGGAAACAGCUUUGUUUAAAUACCUAGCACUGACCGAAUGCUGCCAGACAAUCUAAGGAUACAAGAGUAUCACUUGCGAGUGAUGCGAGUGUCAGAAAGUAAAUACACUUUAUUUCUUUCCUGUUAUAACAUGGAAGUAUGCAUCGCGUGUGACAUUUAAGAGAAGAGCGAUGUAUACAACAGUUAUUCUCACUGACUUAAUUAAAGGUUUUGAAUGUGAAUUUCCGAGAAGCAAACAAGUAUUACCACGAGUGGCGUAAAAGAAGUAUUACGACUGUGAAUAAAAGAAACCUCGGGAGAAAGGCAUCAGGGGUGUUAUGGAGAAACGUGAAUCAUUGGCAGAAUUUCUUAGCAGGAGAGUGUGCUGAGAAACCUAUGAGGAGAAGCAAAAGCUACUCAAUCUUUCAAGAGGAAUUGAGCAGUUUAAGAGAAAUUGAGUUGGCCCGGAGCAGGGAGCCAGCCGAGGAAAGAGAUCGGCCUCCAGAUCCCUGCUUAGAGAAGUGCUUGUCACACAGAGAGUUGGAGCUGGAAGAACGUAAGGACCUGGAGGGAGAGUAUUUUGUGAGAGCAGAUUGUACAGAGCGUGAUGCCAGGCCCCAGACAGCCUUAUGGAUGAUGCAGAGGGAUAUGAAUUUGAUCCUUGCAGCAACUGGAAGCCAAUGGAGAGAUUUUAGUGCUGGAGAGGUACGGUGCUUGGGCUUGAGGCCAAGGAUAUGUCUUGCAGCCCUAUUUUAAAUGAGCUGGAGGGGCCUGAGAGAGGAAGAGGAUAGAUUAAAGAAGAGGCUGAUGACAUAGUCCAGCCUAGAGAGUACCAGAGCUUCUGGGAAAGGUGAGUAAAAGAAGGAUGCCUCUGAGGAGUUGAGGUUGGAAGUAGGCCCUGUUGGCAAGGUCCAUAAUGUGAAGGAGAAAAAAAGAGGAUCGAAGAUGAUUCAGAGGUUUCGGGCUUCAGUAGAAAGAGGUGGGGGGACUGGGGGUGUCCAAGGGGGGAUGCUAGGGAGAAGGGAGGAAGAUGGGAGCAUGAUUCUGGAUAGGGAGGAUAUCACCCAACACCGACAUUCACCAGACCCCAGAAAAAGUGUUGGUUGAUGUACAAAGCACGACAGUGGCCAUGGAAGCUGGAAUCCACUAAGGAGUGUGUGACAACUCACCUGUCAACUAGUCCUAAAGAUUGAUGGUGCUGGAGCGUUAGGACCAUGUUCGGCCAUUACUGGUACUGAGAUCUACGGGGCAAAGCCAUGAUGAGUAAGAGUGCUGCUGUGGUACGCACAGAAGCAAGGUCGAGGGUCCGGGUGUAGCCACAGCAGGUUGCAGAUCUAGAUGUAGUAGCAAAUAGUCAAACAAGAACUUUGAAUGCCAAAGUGGAGAAGGGAGAGUGCUGUUCAGAAGGGAUGGGCAAUGGCAUCCGUUACCCUCAGCAUUUUGGUAGGGAGUACACAGAAUGGCAUAGAUAGGUGCCCUCACGGCAUCCAGUGCGGUAACACAAACAAUACUGGAAAAGCUGUCAGAAGCCCCAUAGAGAGUUCUCAUUUCUAUGUGAAUCGCAGGGUUUGCCCUGAGAGAAGGGCACGAGCCUUGGAAAACACUGUGAUACUGGUGGCACCCGGUGAGCAUCUAGUGAGCUCUUGCUGAUCCUUGAAACCCAGGGGUGAUUGUGUAAAUCUCACACAGGGACUUACCCAUAUUCACAGCAGGUCUCCAAGGUGCACAGCCUCUGGCAUGUUGGAACAAAUUAGGUAAAGGAAGUCGGCAAGUCAGAUUCGUAACUUCAGCAUGAUGAUUGGCUCUAAGGUCUGGGUGGGUCGGGACUGGCGUAAAGCAGGUCUGGGCAUGUGGCAUGGCUGCACGAGUGGUCUACCCCGGGGCAACACCGACUCUGGACACAAGCUGUGCCCUUUCUGUGGAUGGCACCAACUGUGAUGGUGCCUGUCUCCAUUCCCCUACCGAGGUUCAGGGCCAGCAUUCUGCCUUGGAAAAUGCCUAGCAGCUGACUUAGAACUAGUGCAGAACAGAGGAAUCUGACUGCUUAAUUUCAGCAAAGCAUCACAAAGGUCAUGGCAGGUUUUUAUGCAAUGUGAUUUCUGGCCAGUGCUCUGAAUAUCAAAGUGUAGUAUUUAAAUGAAGCACAGUUAAAUGGCAGGAGUUAUUAUGAGUCUCUUAAGGUAGCCAAAUGCCUUGUCAUCUAAUUAGUGAUGCGCAUGAAUGGAUGAAUGAGAUUCCCACUGUCCCAACCUACUAUUUAGCUUAACCACAGCUAAGAUACAGGUUUGGCAGACUCAGUAGAGAAAGGAGACCCUGUUAGGCUCGGCUGUAGCCUGGCACUGUGAAGAGAAGUGAGAGGAGUAGGGUAAGUGGGAGGCCCUCAUGUUCUGGUGAAUUACCACUACUCAUAUAGUUUAUUUCACUUAUGAGGUGAGGUGGUGGGCGAGCCUCGUGGAGAUCUCACUUCUGGCUGCAAGCACAUGGCACCCACCGGGUCCAACCGGCUCUGGGGACAGUGGCAGGUGGGGGGUGUGACUGGAGCGGUAUACCAGUCAAAUGAUAAGGCAGGUGUCCUAUGGUAAAAUGAGGAGGACAGAAACCCUUGGAUGAGCAGAAGAGCAAAUGGUGCUUGCGUGAUCUUGAUUUUCUGUAUGAAUACAGACCAUGAAACCUCGGCCUCACAAUUAUUCUAACUGUUUGUUUUUCAAGCAGGUGAUGUCAGGAAAUGUGUCACUGGGAUGACUGGCUUGUGGUGGCAAAGCGGUCAUAUUGAUGUUGCUUUUGAUCCUUCGAUGUCGGCUCUUCCUAUCAUUGUGAAGCAGAAUUCACCAAGCGUUGGAUUGUUCACCCACUAAUAGGGAACGUGAGCUGGGUUUAGACCGUCGUGAGACAGGUUAGUUUUACCCUACUGAUGAUGUGUUGUUGCAAUAGUAAUCCUGCUCAGUACGAGAGGAACCGCAGGUUCAGACAUUUGGUGUAUGUGCUUGGCUGAGGAGUUAAUGGGGUGAAGCUACCACUGUCAGAUUGAGACUGAACGCCUUUAAGUAAGGAUCCUAUCCUAAACUGUAAAAAUACUGCAGCGCUUUGUAGCCUAGUUAGCAUAGGAUAGCUGGAAUCUGGGCCAUCUGGCUGAGGUGGUCGGACCAGAUGAUCUGAAUGACGGCUGGUCAGGCUGUCUCCUGCAUAUGUCUGCAGCAAGGCUC
rnacentral:rRNA from 1 species